GGUUCUGGGGUGUAACAUAUGGGAUUGCAAAUCUCAAGAAGCAGGGUAAUGCCUGCCAGGGCUU
rnacentral:tRNA from 1 species